rnacentral:lncRNA from 1 species
CCGGGUUCCCGCCAUUCUCCUGCCUCAGCCUCCUGAGUAGCCGGGACUACACGCGCCCGCCACCACGCCCGGCUAAUUUUUUGUAUUUUUAGUAGAGACGCGGUUUCACCGUGUUAGCCACUAAGGUCUUGAUCUCCUGACCUUGUGAUCCGCCCACCUCAGCCUCCCAAAGUGCUGGGAUUACAGGCGUGAGCCACCGCGCCUGGCCAGAAGCAGGAAUUAUUGAUACGGAGUGCAGGGGAGUGAAGAGCGUGGUCCCCUCAAAUGAUACCGAAGUGUGGAAGGGAAGUGCUGGGUAGAAGAGGGCGUGGUCCCUGGCUAGGGCUCCACCCCCACGGACCUGGGUGAGGAUAGGCAUUUCCUGUCCAAAUAUUGCAUUGCCCAAUAUCACCCCGGCCUGCCACACCCCCAUCCUGUGCCUAUAAACUGCCCUCAGACCUUAGCAGGCAGGCACACAAGCUGCUGGACCUGCAGAGGAGCCUAUCUGCAAACCCAGACAUCUGGACGUGGAGAGGAGCGAAUUGGUGGAGGAACACACAGGUGGCUGGAUGUUAAGAGAAGCACAUCAGCAGGCCCUGGGAUGCGGGCAGGCCACGGACCAGCAGAAGGAGAGGCUGAGUUUGGCUGGGACAGUCAGAGGAGAGCCCGGGCCAGGGAGCAGCCUGACUCCAAGGAAAAAACCAUCUCCCUUCUGGCUCCCCCGUAUGCUGAGAGCUACUUCCAGUCAAUAAAACUUUGAACUCAUUCUCCAAGACCACGUGUGAUCCGAUUCUUCCAGUACACCAAGAAAGAAGAAGAGGAGCAAGAAGAGGCUGAGAAGAAACAGAAGAUUUUGUGACAUGUGAACAUUGCAUGACAUCCAAAGUUCAGUGUCCAUAAAUAAAAUGUUAUUGGUAUACAGCUGGUCUCCUUCACUGAUGGGUUGCCUGUAUCUAUGGAUGUGCUUUAACAGCAGAGUUGAGUCAUUGUGACAUAGACAGAAAAGGGAACGUGGCUGGUAAAGCCUGAACUGUUU